GAUGAAGAACGUAGCGAAAUGCGAUAAGUAAUGUGAAUUGCAGAAUUCAGUGAAUCAUCGAAUCUUUGAACGCACCUUUCGCUCCUUGGUAUUCCGAGGAGCAUGCCUGUUUGAGUGUCAUUAAUAUAUCAACCUUCUCUUUUUUGAGUUGUUUGGAUGUGGGGGUUUGCUGGCCUCUUAAAUGAUUCAGCUCCCCUGAAAUGCAUUAGCAGAACAACCUGUUCAUUAGCGUGAUAAUUAUCUAUGCUAUUGAAUGUGAGGGCAGUUCAGCUUUCUAACCGUCCUUGGACAAUUCAUCAUUAAUGUGACCUCAAAUCAGGUAGGACUACCCGCUGAACUUAAGCAUAUCAAUAAGCGGAGGA
rnacentral:misc_RNA from 1 species